rnacentral:rRNA from 1 species
CAAGACCUCUCACUAUUGGAGCGGCCGAUGUCUGAUUAGCUAGUUGGCGGGGUAAAGCCCACCAAGGCGACGAUCAGUAGUUGGUUUGAGAGAACGACCAGCCACACUGGGACUGAGACACGGCCCAGACUCCUACGGGAGGCAGCAGUGGGGAAUUUUGGACGACGGGGGCAACCCUGAUCCAGCCAUGCCGCGUGCGGGAAGAAGGCCUUCGGGUUGUAAACCGCUUUUGUCAGGGAAGAAAUGGACUUUUCUAAUACAAGAGUUCGAUGACGGUACCUGGAGAAUAAGCACCGGCUAACUACGUGCCAGCAGCCGCGGUAAUACGUAGGGUGCAAGCGUUAAUCGGAAUUACUGGGCGUAAAGCGUGCGCAGGCGGUUUUGCAAGUCAGAUGUGAAAGCCCCGGGCUCAACCUGGGAAUUG